AAUCUCUCCAUUUCCAGGGCGGUGCAGUGUAAGAGGGCAUGUUCAGUUGUUUCUGGCUCUUCGCACUCAAGGCAGUUUGGGUUUUCUUGUGGCAUCAGUCUGGCCAUCUGUGCCUUUAGUCUGUUGUGUCCGGUUCUCAGCCUGAAGAGUAUUUGUGUUAUCUUCCUAGACUUGUGCUGGUGCCAUUUGAGGGAUCCGGUAGUGCUUGUAGAUGGCUGUUUGCUCGGAGAUUGAUAAUGGGUUAUUUGAUCUGUUUGAGGAUUCGUUGGAUGAGCUUUCUUGUGAAGCUAUGGUGUCUGCUCUCUCAUUCCCCGGGAUGCCAACAUGGCUUGGGAUCCAACAGAUCCUGGUUUUGGUGAUGCUAGUGCUUUUACUACUGACUUGGAGUCAGUAUAGACGAUUAGUUCCUGGAUGUCUUGAGGGAGAUUGUACACUAUUUCCAUUGCCCUGUGGAUUCCGUAGGCUUCUGCCGUAAGGAUGGAUGAACCCUCAUGAUCCAUCCGUGUACGCUUCUGUUCCGUUUUCUGUCUGGGCCUUAUAUUCUUGAAAGAGCGCCCUGGCUUUCGUCUGGAGGUUGGCUAAUAUUCUUCCGCUGCGGUUGGGAUGGGUGCUUCGUGUGUCCCAUAGGCCAUGUCUUGCGUUGUAGUCGCCGCAGAAUAUGGUGUUGUUGCUGGUCAAUCUAUGCAAUUGGGUCAAUUCAUCCUCGUCGCACGCCUGGCCAUUUGGUCUGGCAGCUGAAGUUGUUUGAACUGGAGGGAUUUGUGAAUUAAUAUUGCCACGCCUCCUCCUACCUGGCCUACGCGAUUUUUAUUUACUGGAUAGUAUUGUUUGAAUUUUACGCUGAAUGAAUCUCUCCAGAACGUUUCGCAUAGUGUGACUAUGUGGGGUUUGUGAAGGUGCAAAUGUGCUUUGAAUUCUAUUAAAUUAGACUUUGUGAGA
rnacentral:lncRNA from 1 species